rnacentral:lncRNA from 1 species
UCCAUUCUUCUCAAACCCUAAACAACAACAAUGCAUUCUCCCAACCUCCUCCUCCUCCUCCUCCUCCUCUUCUUCUUCACUGUUUCAUAUGCAGAACUUUGCCAUCCAAAUGACAAAAAGGUCCUCCUCAACAUCAAAAAAGCCUUCAACAAUCCCUACAUUCUUACCUCAUGGAAACCUGAAGAAGAUUGUUGCACUUGGUAUUGUGUUGAAUGUGAUCGGAAGUCCCAUCGGAUCAUUGCCCUCACCGUCUUUGCCGACGACAAACUCUCUGGCCCAAUCCCACCCUUUGUGGGUGACCUCCCGUUCCUCGAAAACCUCAUGUUCCACAAGCUCCCAAAUCUCAUUGGCCCCAUCCCACCUACCAUUGCAAAACUCAACAACCUCAAAUACCUUGACCUAAGCUGGAACGGUCUCUCUGGUCCUGUCCCCAGCUUCCUCGGCUCCCUUUCCAAUCUCGAUGUUCUCGACCUCUCCUUCAACCGUUUCACUGGCUCCAUCCCUAGCUCUCUUGCCAACCUCCGCCGCCUUGGAACUCUCCAUUUGGAUCGAAACAAAUUGACAGGACCCAUACCCGAAUCAUUUGGAAACUUCAAGGGAAAAGUCCCUUAUCUCUACCUAUCCCACAACCAACUGUCUGGAAAAAUUCCAAUUUCUAUGGGGAAAGUGGAUUUCAAUUACAUUGAUUUGUCGAGGAACAAGCUCGUGGGCGAUGGAUCGUUGAUAUUCGGUUCAAAGAAGACGACAGAAAUUGUGGACUUGUCAAGGAACUUGUUAGAGUUCAACAUGUCGAAGGUUGUGUUUCCUCGAACCUUGACUUAUUUGGAUCUUAACCAUAACAAGAUCUUUGGGGAAAUUCCAACCGAGGUUGUGAAGUUGGAGUUGCAGAUGUUUAAUGUGAGUUACAAUGCACUUUGUGGUCGGAUUCCGAUGGGAGGAAAGUUGCAAAGCUUUGACGUAUACUCCUAUUUUCAUAACAAGUGUUUGUGUGGUAAGCCACUUGGUAGCUGCAAAUGAUGAAAUGGUGAAAUCACUCCCCAACACAUUCUCCAUUAUUAUUAGUGAUUUUAUUUUGUUUUUGUUGCUUUUUAGUAUGUUAUGAGAGUUUGUUUAAGUUGGAAUUUGUACAAAUUUGGAGUCUAGGAACUUAAUUUUUAUGUGGUUUUACCACAUGAAGAAUUUAACUUCCAUCUACGUUAGCCUAGAUAUAUCCAAGUGUAAAUUUUCCAACUGUUAAAGCUAUGUCCGUUUUGUAGUUUGUUAUUAUCUUAUUGUAGCGGAAAAUAACGAGUU